rnacentral:rRNA from 1 species
UUCCAGCGCAGGCCGCGUAUACCGGAGGGUGCAGCGUAUCGAUAACUGGGCGUAAGCGCAGCAGCGUCUGUCAGUCGGAUGUGAAUCCCCGGGCUCACUGGGACCUGCAUUCGAAACUGGCAGGCUAGAGUCUGUAGAGGGGGGUAGAAUUCCAGGUGUAGCGGUGAAAUGCGUAGAGAUCUGGAGGAAUACCGGUGGCGAAGGGCGGCCCCUGGACAAAGACUGACGCUCAGGUGCGAAAGCGUGGGGAGCAAACAGGAUUAGAUACCGUGGUAGUCCACGCCGUAAACGAUGUCGACUUGGAGGUUGUGCCCUUGAGGCGUGGCUUCCGGAGCUAACGCGUUAAGUCGACCGCCUGGGGAGUACGGCCGCAAGGUUAAAACUCAAAUGAAUUGACGGGGGCCCGCACAAGCGGUGGAGCAUGUGGUUUAAUUCGAUGCAACGCGAAGAACCUUACCUACUCUUGACAUCCAGAGAACUUAGCAGAGAUGCUUUGGUGCCUUCGGGAACUCUGAGACAGGUGCUGCAUGGCUGUCGUCAGCUCGUGUUGUGAAAUGUUGGGUUAAGUCCCGCAACGAGCGCAACCCUUAUCCUUUGUUGCCAGCGGUUAGGCCGGGAACUCAAAGGAGACUGCCAGUGAUAAACUGGAGGAAGGUGGGGAUGACGUCAAGUCAUCAUGGCCCUUACGAGUAGGGCUACACACGUGCUACAAUGGCGCAUACAAAGAGAAGCGACCUCGCGAGAGCAAGCGGACCUCAUAAAGUGCGUCGUAGUCCGGAUUGGAGUCUGCAACUCGACUCCAUGAAGUCGGAAUCGCUAGUAAUCGUAGAUCAGAAUGCUACGGUGAAUACGUUCCCGGGCCUUGUACACACCGCCCGUCACACCAUGGGAGUGGGUUGCAAAAGAAGUAGGUAGCUUAACCUCGGGAGGGCGCUUACCACUUUGGAUUC